GGGUCGGAUCUCUCCUCCUCCUUCUCAGUCGGUUUCAGCCGCCAUCUUCCCCUCCCGUCGCCGGCCCCUUGCCGCGGCUCGGAUCGGCCCGGCCUGACCCAAGCGGCAGCACCGCGGGGCGGAGGCGCUGGGGAAGCCGCGGGCCCGCCGCCCCCCGAGAAGGGAGUUUCAGGCCUGUGUGUGUGAACAAAAGCAUCAGAAUGAGCGGGGAAGUGGUGAAGGUACAAGACAGAGGAGAUCAGUGACCUGAGAUCACACACCCACAACAAAUCUGCUGCAAAAGUCAUGCUGUCCACAAGGUGGCCUGUGUAAAAAAGAAUUGCUUGUCUCAGUCUGUUAGUGUAAAAUGAAGCUCUGGUUCCUGCAGCUCCAUGCAGAAGAGCUGGGGAAAGCUGGACUUAGCAGCAGAUAGUUUCCCCACGCAACCAUGAAUUUCACUGAUUUCUGUAGAUGAAAGAGUCUGCAAUAAAUUGUAAGUACAAGCUGGGAAGGAGGAGGACCCAGCCCUGCAUGGAGACACUGUUGGGUGCUGUGCUGCAGGCAGGGUCAGUGCAGCCCCCAGAAUGCUCCCUGGGGUGUCCUGCAAGGCCAGGACCAUAGGUUCCGGGGCAGAGGGGAGCAGCGACCUGCAGAUACCACCUCGUAAACAAUAACCCUUUAUUUCAUAGCCAGCCUUAUCAAAAUUAACAUAAGCAGGAGGGGCAAAAUGCAGUGAUCUCCAUCUGGUCCUCUCUGCAGGGGAGCUGAUGCUCUGCAGGUAACUACAGAGAAAGCAAAGCAGGAAAAAUCUUCCUGGAUUACCCAUAAAUAGAUACACAUUUUUGUAAAAACCACAGGAAGUUCACUCGGUAGCAAGCGAGCAGGCAUGUAUUGCACACCCUCUCUGUCAGCAGCCGUGCUGCAAGAGGAAGGAUGCUGAGUAGGAGCGAGGGAAUGCAGUAACCCGUGGCAAGAUGGAGGAGGAGUUGGUCCCCGAGGAAGCAACCUGUCUGCACUCCAUGGAGUGCCACAUCCCCUGGAAAGGCAAAAUGGGGCUUUGCCUUGAUGAAGAAAAACCUGAUACAAAGCUCAAAAGCAGAGAUGCUGGGGUAAUAUAAAGGAAGGCUGUAUGGUGAUGUGAUUUCUGCUUAUUAUUCAGACCACAUUAGUAAAAUCUCCAAGAGAUUUUGUUCACAAACCUCUGCUUCAUCCUCACAGGUCAAACAGCUUGAUGUUUCACUAAAACAAGCAGCAUGGGCACCUCCAAGCAAGACUUCUUUGGGUUUUGCACUCUGAAAAGAGUUGUUUUUCUUUUAGCCUCCUUCACUCCCCUCAUGCUGGGUAUAACAACAGGAUAAGCAGACUCUGACGCCGUUAAACAACAGAUGAAAGAUGCAGCCAUCGUCGUCACUGAAGACAUCAGGCGUGUGGUAUUCUGAGUUAUGUGACCUAUGGGAGAAUGACAAGAAAAUCCUGAAAUUUUAUUCUAAAGAGGAAAUUGUGUGGCUAUGAAUGAAUCUUUGUGCUGCUAAUGAACCCGUUACCAGAGCUUGGCUGGUUGCUGGUACAUACAGGGCAAUAAAAACCGGACUCAUUUUCAUGUUUAUGCAAUUCAAAACACGUGGGGCAAAACACUUUAUCCCAAGAAAAUUCCCUGUUGCAGAAACCUGCUGGAGAACCUGCUUUACUGAGGAGUGUGAAAAAUAAUGCACUGGUGAACUCAGGAAGUCUGAUAUAGGUGGAACUGUGCCUUUAGGUGAGUUUUCUCAUUUUGAGGGUAAUAUUGCGGGGCUUGCUGUUUCAUUAACCCACUGCCAUCCAGCAAAGGCUGGUGCUGGGGUGCCUGUGUGGGGAGUGGCGGUGGUGGCACCUGUCCUGGUGCAGUCAGGCAUUUUGGACUUUGGAACCAAACACCUUCCCGCAUGAACUAGACCUGAGACAAGCAAAGCCAGGCAGGAGCUCAAGGGAACAUCCAGAGCCUACCAAAUCUCUGCCAUGCCCAUGACACCACUCAGGACAUUCUGUACACUCUGGGAACCCCUAUUUUGGAGUUUCAAAGGCAUUGGUUUCAUGGACUGAUCAACCCAUACACCUCCUAUGACUCCUAUGCAACCACCAACUUUCCGUCCAUUUCCACCAGGUGCCAGAUCACCUCCAGAAUGUUUGCACCUUGCUGCAAUGGGUGAUGGCAUAGGGGAAAUCAAAUCUACUGCCUUCCCACAGGUCACAUCUGUGCAGUGGGUUUUGCUCCUAGGUCCAGCGUUUCCUACUCCCCAGACCCCUCUGAAUGACUGGGACCAGUUCACAGAAGAUGUUGGAUGGGGCUCCUUGGGAGCAUACUGCUGGUGUGCAGAGGAUCCCAUUUCCACUUAAAUUGGUGUGAGUUUGCCUCAUAGCAAGAAGCAGGAGUUUAGAUUUCCUUAAUUCAUCUCCUGGCUCAUCGUGCUUAUCACUGAGUCUUGGGAGUGGUGGGGAAACUUUCCUGGGCAAAAUGGGAGAUGAUGGAAAUUGGUGUGAAUCCUUGAAGAUCCUUGAUUUCCUCAGCCUGUGGAUCUGACCAAGGCUUUGCUUUCCUCACCUCAUGUUGAAAGGGGGAUAAUUUUAUUUACCUUUCUCUUAAGGAUGUGGCAAGGGCAAGUGAUUUUGAAUCUUGCUUUGGAGAGCAAGUUCGGAAGUGUCACUAUCAACGACUAUAGUCCUUUCCAACAGUAAAUUUAAAAGGAGAAUUAAAUGUGAAAAGGCACCACUCCCACUAUUAAUCUCUUCUCUGCGCUGUUUCCUUUACUCUUUUAUACUAUCUCAUUUUCAGUCCCUUGCCAACAGCUCCUUGGCAGCUCUCAUAAAAGCAAUUAUCAUCUUUAGUAAAGUUUUUUGCUGUAUUUUUUUUCUUUUUUGCUUCAUUCUGGAACUGAAUAUUCUUCAUAAUGUCAUUCUGUCAGUCUCAGACUUCACCAGCUGCAUCUUGCCUCCUGCUCCAGCUUUUAUGCCACGUGCCCUCUCUUAGCACUUCUGAGGUUGCUCAAGGAGCUUUUCUCUUUUGCUUGAGAAGAUGCUCAACCCCAUGCAGACCCAAGAUGCUUUUGAUUGAGCAGGAACUGGAAGCAAUCCAACGCAUCACUCUGAGCAGAAUUAAAAAUACCACCUUGUCCACAGUUCUGGAGAAAUUCAUGUGCUUGAAGGGCAGGCGCUGCAUCUCCAGGAGACACUUCCAAUAACCUCUAGCUUUAUUUUGGCCAAGGUUGUACCUGAGAAAGAGGCAGGGAGCCCUGCUCUUUAGAGAAGCCAUCCUGAUAAAUGGUCCAGAUCAGACUUGCAGAUCUGAAUUUCUCCAGUUGGGGAAGUGGAGAAUCAGAGCCAAAUUGGCAAUUUUGAUUUAAAUCCUCUCUUUUUGCUUUAAUUACGUUUCCUGUUGGCUUCUUCUCUCACUCUAGAUGGUGCGCGGGGUGACUCUGGGAUAAGCAGACUAUUACACAGCUCUGAUUUCCUUGGCCUGAAGGAUGCUAUUUUUCAGCUCAUCCUGUUAAAUAGCUGCUGUUCAGAGGCUAGGAAAGGCAGAACUGCUGCUCUGGAUGUCCCAGCAACAUCUAUCAGGAGCACCCACCUAGAUGUUGACAUCUGCACAAUCUCUUGAGCAGAUGAAAUGGGAGGGUGUUCAACUCCAGGGUCUAAACUAGGAUUGUUUAUAUUCAAACACGUCAACCUGUGUUUGACUUGCUUGAGACCUGUCUACCAACAGCCAAGAGCUGACCAGUGGUGCCUGAAAUACCCUAUCCAGCAAUAGUCAUCCAGAUGCUGUUUUCUGUACUACUCAUUUCCCAUCCCUCUUGAGCACAUUUGACUCUAGCCUUUAGCUUCUUUGUGCUAUAACAUGCUGUGUUCAGAGUCCCAACACGCAUCAUGGGCCAUGAAGAUGCUCUGAGGGCUGGAGCACCUCUGCUAUGGAGCCAGGCUGAGAGAGCUGGGCUUGUUCAGCCUGGAGAAGAGAAGGCUCCAGGGAGACCUUAGAGCAGCUUCCAGUGCCUAAAGGGGCUGCCAAGAAAUGUGGAGAGGGGCUUUUGACAAGGGCCUGCAGGGACAGGACAAGGGGGAAUGGCUUUAACCUGACAGAGGGGAGAUUGAGAUGAGAUCUUAGGCAGGAGUUCUUCCCUGUGAGGGUGGUGAGGCCCUGGCACAGGUUGCCCAGAGAAGCUGUGGCUGCCCCAUCCCUGGCAGUUCUCACGGCCAGGUUGGAAACAGCUUGGAGCAACCUGGUCUAGUGGAAGGUGUCCCUGCCUGUGACAGGGGGUUGGAACUGGAUGAACUUUAUGGUUCCUUCCAACCCAAAACAUUCUGUGAUUCUAUAGUUCUAAGUGCAGUGGAUGCCCUCAGAGAUGCUGCUUCUCCUCCUGCCCCCUCUGCUCACUCCCCAACAUUUCACCUCCAGAAGCCACUGCAGAAAACAAGGCACAUUCCCGAGUGUAUGCCUUCAGGAAUCCAUGCUUGGUUUGUAGAUUGGUAGGUGCUGGAUUCUCACACUUUACCCCCAAAAUUCUGCAUUAAGGACUGUGGAUGGCCCCUCCAUGGCCCCUGUUGCUAUGCCAAGAAUCUGCUCACUGACCCUAUUUUUUCUUUGCAAAAAGGCCUGAAAUAGGGAUGCAACUGUGAAAUGGUGAAAACCUUUGGGCUUAUAGAGUUCUUCAGGAGUCUUUGGAGACGGGAUGGGAUCCCAGGCAUCAGCGCAGGCAGUGAGGGACAGAUGUUCCUAAUUGAGCUGAACAUGCCUCAUCCCUCUCUGAAAUCAUCUUGUUGUGGCAGUAGCUCUGCUUCCCUCGUUCCCCUCCUGUGAGCUGGGAUCAGGCUGAGUGGAGCAGAGCUCACAUGCAGUAUCAGCGGGUGAAUGCAGUCGUUACAACCCGCUGUUACACUUGGUUUCCUUUUGUAAGAAAGAUCCCCUUCAUCCUGCCGGCUGGCCGAUGGCUGGGUGUGCUACACAUCACUGCAUAUUUUCCACUUGAGAUCAAUACCACAGUCCCUAAUGGCUUUGAAGAGUGCUGCCGGCAUCCUGUGGACCCCAGGUGCUUCACUGGGCACUGCUCAGGGAAUAACACGAAGUAAUUCCCCAGCCCCAUCGCUGCACCCCUCUUGCUGUCAUUUCUUCUCCUCCAUCCCAUCAUCUUUAAGCAGAGCUCUGCCAGCACUUUAUUUUAUUAUAUUCAACCAUAUGAAAAAGCUCUUGGCAAGAAACCCGGCUGCUCUGAACUUAUUUGUUGUAUUUUGUUGUUUCGUUUUGUUUUAACAAUUCUGCAUUGUUUAGGGCUGUUGUGCUCCCUCGGAGGCUCGAGUUUCGUGCAUUCAUUUGCUCUUCUCUUGUCAAAUCUGCCUUUGGAGCUGUUGUUUGGCUCUUAUAUGAGCCCUCUUCCAUCUCCAACCAUUCUUUUUCAUUUUAAGUCCUUUUUUUUUUUUUUUUUUUUUUGCCAGCUCUAACUCAGUUUAACCAUGCUGCAGAUUCAAUUUCUGCACUUUGGGAUCAAAAGAAAAAGGAGAAUAAUACCAAAAUACACCACUUAAUGCUACCACAUUAAUUUUGUGGUGGCUCCCAAAAGCUAAACUAACCUUGAGGAGAUGUGAUUGCAGCUGACUCUGCAUAUAUCACUAUGAUACCAGUAGUUGUAAACUUACACAACCACUGUGAAAGCCAGGGAUGGCAAUUGAGCUCAGUUCUGCUCUUGGAAAAGGUGCCCCCAAGUAAUAGGCAAUUUAUAAUGGUGGAAAUGAGAGGAGAAUUGGAAUCUUUUGCCCUUUGGUAGAUUCUACAUGCUACCAUCUUGCUGCCCAAAGAAACACUUUGCAUCCUCAUUGCAAUAAAUAUAUUAAAUGACAGCAACAUUUUUCUGUUCCUGGCUGAAGGCUGGGGACUAAUCACAUUUCUUCUAAACCCUUCAAGAUGACAGAUCUGGAGGAGCUGCUUCAACUCAAGGUCAAAUCUGGCUUCCCCUCAUAAACUAAGGCUGUACUCUUACAGUGGAACCAGAGGACAGUUUCUCUUACUGGUAAGGAUGUGGCUGGUGGGUUUUGCUCUGAUUCCCUGCAUGCAGCAGGAUCAUGUUGGAGAGUUCUCUGUUCUGGCCCCAUCAGUCCUGCCACCAAGCAAUGUGCAAUCCCACUGACUACUUUUCACAGCUAGAGAAGUCUCUUGUACUGCAUCUUUAAUACUUGUUCUUUGCCAAAGCCUCUUCUUUUAUUUUAUUUUAUUUUUU